rnacentral:rRNA from 1 species
UACGACUACAUAUCAGGCAUAUCAAUAAGCGGAGGAAAAGAAACUAGCAAGGAUUCCCUUAGUAACGGCGAGUGAAGCGGGAAGAGCUCAAAUUUGAAAUCUUCAAGGUUCUACCUUGACGAAUUGUAGUUUAUAGAAGUGUUUUCUGUUAGUGGAGUGGCAAAAGUUCUUUGGAAUAGGACAUCAUAGAGGGUGAGAAUCCCGUAUUUGGUCAUUCCUCCUAGCGUUGUGAUACACUUUCAACGAGUCGGAUUGUUUGGGAAUGCAGUCCAAAAUGGGUGGUAAAUUUCAUCUAAAGCUAAAUAUUGGCGAGAGACCGAUAGCGAACAAGCACCGUGAGGGAAAGAUGAAAAGAACUUUGAAAAGAGAGUUAAACAGUACGUGAAAUUGUCAAAAGGGAAGCGUUUGACACCAGUGUUGUUUUCUCGAAAACCAAUUAAAAAUGACCGGAUUUUGUGUUGUAUUGACUUUAUCAGCUUUCUGCACUUUUUUCUUGUCUUUUUUAAUGCACUUUUCGUUUAACAAGUCAACAUCAAUUUCUUUUGUUGUAAAAGGGUCAUUGGAAGGUGGCUUUCACUUCGGUGAAAGUGUUUAUAGCCUUUGACUUCUGCAAUCGGAGAGAUUGAGGUCUGCAGCGUAGAUCCUUCGGGGUUAGAUACAUUAGAUGCUAAGUUAUAGUUUUUCAUAGACAACAUUGUUGACUAUGAUUAAUCAUGUAGCUUACUCGUUUGCGCUAUUUUACCUACGCUUAGGAUGUUGAAUCUGUGCGAGACUAC